GCUCAACCGAAGAAGUGCAUCGGAAACUGGGAAACUUGAGUGCAGAAGAGGACAGUGGAACUCCAUGUGUAGCGGUGAAAUGCGUAGAUAUAUGGAAGAACACCAGUGGCGAAGGCGGCUGUCUGGUCUGUAACUGACGCUGAGGCUCGAAAGUAUGGGUAGCAAACAGGAUUAGAUACCCUGGUAGUCCAUACCGUAAACGAUGAAUGCUAAGUGUUGGAGGGUUUCCGCCCUUCAGUGCUGCAGCUAACGCAUUAAGCAUUCCGCCUGGGGAGUACGGCCGCAAGGCUGAAACUCAAAAGAAUUGACGGGGGCCCGCACAAGCGGUGGAGCAUGUGGUUUAAUUCGAAGCUACGCGAAGAACCUUACCAGGUCUUGACAUACUAUGCAAAUCUAAGAGAUUAGACGUUCCCUUCGGGGACAUGGACACAGGUGGUGCAUGGUUGUCGUCAGCUCGUGUCGUGAGAUGUUGGGUUAAGUCCCGCAACGAGCGCAACCCUUAUUAUCAGUUGCCAGCAUUAAGUUGGGCACUCUGGUGAGACUGCCGGUGACAAACCGGAGGAAGGUGGGGAUGACGUCAAAUCAUCAUGCCCCUUAUGACCUGGGCUACACACGUGCUACAAUGGAUGGUACAACG
rnacentral:rRNA from 1 species